rnacentral:rRNA from 1 species
UCCGUAGGUGAACCUGCGGAAGGAUCAUUACUGAAUUGUCAAACGGGUUGUUGCUGGCCCUCAUAGGGGGCAUGUGCACGCUCUGUUUACACAUCCACUCACACCUGUGCACCCUCUGUAGUUCUAUGGUCUGGGGGACCCUGUCUUCCUUCUGUGGUUCUACGUCUUUACACACACACUGUAAUAAAGUUUUAUGGAAUGUACAUCGCGUCUAACGCAAUACAAUACAACUUUCAGCAACGGAUCUCUUGGCUCUCGCAUCGAUGAAGAACGCAGCGAAAUGCGAUAAGUAAUGUGAAUUGCAGAAUUCAGUGAAUCAUCGAAUCUUUGAACGCACCUUGCGCCCCUUGGCUAUUCCGAGGGGCAUGCCUGUUUGAGUAUCAUGAACACCUCAACUCUCAUGGUUUGCCAUGAUGAGUUGGACUCUGGGGGUUUUGCUGGCCUGUGGUCGGCUCCUCUCAAAUUAAUCAGCCUCCCAGUGUUUGGUGGCAUCACGGGUGUGAUAAAUAUCUACGCUCGCUGUUGUCUGCCAGGUAACCUUUGGUCACAAAGGUUUGCUGGAGCUCACAGAUGUCUCUCCUCAGCGAGGACAGCUUUUUUAACGUUCGAUCUCAAAUCAGGUAGG